GCCUGAUAUUAUUAAAUAACUAAUUUGAAUUUAACUAAUUCAAAAACAGCGGCUGCCGGGUAGUUUAACUGGGGCGGUUGCCUCCUAAAUUGUAACGGAGGCGUCUAAAGGUUGGCUUAUCUCGGAUGGAAAUCGAGAUUCAAAGUACAAAAGCACAAGCCAGCUUGACUGCAAGACCUACAAGUCACGCAGAUGCGAAAGCAGAGUUUAGUGAACCGAUGCGCCUGAGUGGAAGGCGCAAAGACCAACGGAUAAAAGUUACUCUAGGGAUAACAGGCUGAUCUUGCCCGAGCGUUCAAAGCGACGGCAGGGUUUGGCACCUCGAUGUCGGCUCGUCUCUUCCUGGGGGUGAAGUAGCUCCCAAGGGUUUGUCUGUUCGCCAAUUAAAGAGGCACGCGAGCUGGGUUCAAAACGUCGUGAGACAGUUUGGUCUCUAUCUGGUGUGGGCGUGCGAGAAUUGAGAAGGCGGAUCUCUAGUACGAGAGGACCGAGAUCCAUGAGCCUCUGGUGUGUGGGCUGUUCUGCCAAGAGCAUUGUCCAGUAGCUAUGCUUAGUUAAGAUAACCGCUGAAAGCAUCUAAGUGGGAAGCUGUCUUCAAGAUAAGUUCUCGAUAAUCGCAAGAUUUGAAGGCUCCUGGAAGACUACCAGGUAUUACACUGACAUAGUUAGCUUGCUAAUUGUGAAGGUUUUAUAGGUUAUAGGUGUAAGGCCAGUAAUGGUCUCAGCCGAGUAAUACUAAUCAGCCAAAUUUUAAUUUUU
rnacentral:rRNA from 1 species